rnacentral:rRNA from 1 species
UGGCGGAAGGGUGAGUAACGCGUGGGUAAUCUGCCCCCAAGAUGGGGAUAACCCGCCGAAAGGCGGGCUAAUACCGAAUGUGAUGGUCUGUCGCAUGGCGGAUUAAUUGAAGGCGAGGAUUCUUCGGAACCUGCCACUUGGGGAUGAGCCCGCGUCCCAUCAGCUUGUUGGUGAGGUAAUGGCUUACCAAGGCUAUAACGGGUAGCUGGUCUGAGAGGAUGGUCAGCCACACUGGGACUGAGACACUGCCCAGACUCCUAUGGGAGGCUGCAGUCGAGGAUCUUUUGCAAUGGGCGAAAGCCUGACAAAGCGACGCUGCGUGGAGGAUGAAGGCCUUCGGGUCGUAAACUCCUGUCAUUCGGGAACAAUAAAUCCGGUGUUAAUACUGCCGGAAAUUGAUGGUACCGGAAGAGGAAGCCACGGCUAACUCUGUGCCAGCAGCCGCGGUAAUACAGAGGUGGCGAGCGUUGUUCGGAUUUACUGGGCGUAAAGGGUGCGUAGGUGGUUUCGUAUGUCGGAUGUGAAAUGCCAUGGCUUAACUAUGGAAUUGCAUUCGAAACUGCGGAGCUAGAGUGCGGGAGAGGAGAGCGGAAUUCUUGGUGUAGCGGUGAAAUGCGUUGAUAUCAAGAAGAACACCGGUAGCGAAGGCGGCUCUCUGGAACGCAACUGACGCUGAGGCACGAAAGCUGGGGGAGCAAACAGGAUUAGAUACCCUGGUAGUCCCAGCCCUAAACGGUGUGCACUUGGUGUAAGGAGGUAUUGACCCCUCCUGUGCCGGAGCUAACGCGUUAAGUGCACCGCCUGGGGAGUACGACCGCAAGGUUAAACUCAAGAAAUUGACGGGCCCGCACAGCGGAGAGCAUGUGCUUAAUUCG